UGUGGCAUUCUAGAGCUAAUACAUGCAGUGAGCCUGGAGCCCUUUGGGUAACGGGUGCUUUUAUUAGACCAAGAUCGAUCGGGUUUCGGCCCGUAUUGUGUGGUGACUCUGGAUAACUUUGUGCUGAUCGCAUGGCCACGAGCCGGCGACGUUUCUUUCAAGUGUCUGCCUUAUCAACUUUCGAUGGUAGGUUACUUGCUUACCAUGGUUGUUACGGGUAACGGAGAAUCAGGGUUCGAUUCCGGAGAGGGAGCCUGAGAAACGGCUACCACAUCCAAGGAAGGCAGCAGGCGCGCAAAUUACCCACUCCCGGCACGGGGAGGUAGUGACGAAAAAUAACAAUACGGGACUCUUUUGAGGCCCCGUAAUUGAAAUGAGUACACUCUAAAUCCUUUAACGAGGAUCAAUUGGAGGGCAAGUCUGGUGCCAGCAGCCGCGGUAAUUCCAGCUCCAAUAGCGUAUACUAAAGCUGCUGCGGUUAAAAAGCUCGUAGUUGGAUCUCAGUUCCAGACGAGUAGUGCAUCUACCCGAUGCGACGGCUCGGACUGAACAUCAUGCCGGUUCUUUCUUGGUGCACUUCAUUGUGUGCCUCGAGAUGGCCGGUGCUUUUACUUUGAAAAAAUUAGAGUGCUCAACGCAGGCGAGUCGCCUGAAUAAACUUGCAUGGAAUAAUAGAACAAGACCUCGUUUCUGUUCUGU
rnacentral:rRNA from 1 species